rnacentral:rRNA from 1 species
AUGAAUUUGGCAGCCCUACUGCCAACGUUAAAAAAAAAAAAUCAGGCCAGCCAAUCACGAGGGUACAAGAGCAGAUCGACACGUCAAAAGAGCGCCUUAUCCCUGAAACAGACCAACCACCGGUUGGGGCCUUGGUUAUGGUGCCUUGUGAGGACAGCCUUUUGCAGGAGGCAGCUCGGUGCACUGCAGAUAAAGUGGACGCGGCGCCCAAGGUUGAUGCCCGUCCAGAUGCUGGAAGCCCUGCUGGCCUUGGGACGGAGCCAAUCGCAGCUCAGUGCACAGAUCCCAGGAUCCCAAGAGGCAGUGCGUGUGAGGCCAGACAGGAUGGCGAUGGACAAGGAGAUUAGGACACUGGAGGAGGCGCGGGACCCAAGCUCAGAGAUGGCUGGGCUGAUGGGACGCACGGACGUGCUCCAUGCACCCACCCGGUUGGUGGAUGAGGAAUCCCCAUGCAACGUCGAGUGCAACAUGCUCAAUACGAUCCAGCCGCAGCCUGUGGGUGAUUUACCACUGGAUUUUUCUGCAAAUCCGGUUGAUGUGGACUCAAACUUGAUACUGGUGGAUUCGACGGAAGGUAUGACUGCCCAGGAAGCACUGGCCUACACGAGGUUGAAGAAGUUUCGUUCCAGCAUCGUCAAAAAGUUGGCGCCACCUCUCCUGCGCGAGGUAUCAGAUCUAAGGCCGGAGGCAGAACCGUUCACACCCAAGCGCACUACACGUUCCACCAAGCGUUCUGCUGGGAUGAACACAGCCAAGUCCAACAAGGUGGAAAGUGUGUUGUUGAGAGCACUUGGGCUUGUCCCAGAAGACAUGGCGGUGGACGACGAGGCAGUCAAAGAGCUUCAAGAGCUGUUCGAUUCCCCCUUGCGGGAGCAGCAUGUGAGGGUCAUUGCGGCGCUGUUCGGCAAAUGUGUCCCCAACAAUGACGAGCUGUCACGAGAGUCUGAUGUGGUGAUCGGUGUGCACUGA